AGUGAACGCUGGCGGUAGGCCUAACACAUGCAAGUCGAACGGCAGCACAGUAAUAGCUUGCUCUUACGGGUGGCGAGUGGCGGACGGGUGAGGAAUACAUCGGAAUCUACUUUUUCGUGGGGGAUAACGUAGGGAAACUUACGCUAAUACCGCAUACGACCUACGGGUGAAAGCAGGGGAUCUUCGGACCUUGCGCGAGUGAAUGAGCCGAUGUCGGAUUAGCUAGUUGGCGGGGUAAAGGCCCACCAAGGCGACGAUCCGUAGCUGGUCUGAGAGGAUGAUCAGCCACACUGGAACUGAGACACGGUCCAGACUCCUACGGGAGGCAGCAGUGGGGAAUAUUGGACAAUGGGCGCAAGCCUGAUCCAGCCAUACCGCGUGGGUGAAGAAGGCCUUCGGGUUGUAAAGCCCUUUUGUUGGGAAAGAAAAGCAGCAGGUUAAUACCCCGCUGUUCUGACGGUACCCAAAGAAUAAGCACCGGCUAACUUCGUG
rnacentral:rRNA from 1 species